AAAGAAUCCUCGGGUCCGGAUGGGCAUGCGUGGCAUUAGCUUGUUGGCGGGGUAACGGCCCACCAAGGCGACGAUGCCUAGGGGUUCUGAGAGGAAGGUCCCCCACACUGGUACUGAGACACGGACCAGACUCCUACGGGAGGCAGCAGUGAGGAAUAUUGGUCAAUGGGCGAGAGCCUGAACCAGCCAAGUCGCGUGAGGGACGACGGCCCUACGGGUUGUAAACCUCUUUUGCCGGGGGACAAACGGCGGCACGCGUGCCGUCCUGAGGGUACCCGGAGAAAAAGCAUCGGCUAACUCCGUGCCAGCAGCCGCGGUAAUACGGAGGAUGCGAGCGUUAUCCGGAUUUAUUGGGUUUAAAGGGUGCGUAGGCGGGAUGCCAAGUCAGCGGUCAAAUACGGGGGCUCAACCUGCGUCCGCCGUUGAAACUGGCGUUCUUGAGUGGGCGAGAAGUACGCGGAAUGCGUGGUGUAGCGGUGAAAUGCAUAGAUAUCACGCAGAACCCCGAUUGCGAAGGCAGCGUACCGGCGCCCAACUGACGCUGAAGCACGAAAGCGUGGGUAUCGAACAGGAUUAGAUACCCUGGUAGUCCACGCAGUAAACGAUGAACACUAAUUGUCCGGCGGGGUUUGCCGCUGG
rnacentral:rRNA from 1 species